GCCACGUUGAUCCCUGUGGAGUGGGAUGGAGCACCUCUGAGGCUGCAGCCAGGCCAAAGAACCUGGCCCACAAAUUGUCUUCUGAGCUCCCCACCUCCUGAGUCCUAACUCCCAGGGACCCGACUCCCAGGCCCUUGUUGUCUCUGAUGUCCUCGGCUUCUGGUGUGGCAGCUCAGACUGCCACUUACAAGCGCUGACAUUUUGACUAACUUUCCAAAGAUCUGUGGUUCUGUGAUUUUGACAUUCUGCAUCUCUAAGGUUCUGAGCCUGACAUUUUUUGGAGGUUGGAAUUUCCAAGAUGAUGAGACCUGACACCUCCGACCUCCUGAUGCUGCCCUUCAGCAGCUUGCACAGCUACGCUCAAUGAGGCCUGUCCUGGAGGAGUGCCUGCAAGUGGGGUGACGGGCCCAGCCGGGCUCCGGAGGGUGCCACCAUCACCAGGGGCACUGUGGGCAGCUGCAGGGAGAAGGCAGAUGUGGAAACAGGCUCUGGGAGAUGGAGGGACUUUUUCGAGAUCAAAAAAUAAUAAUAAGC